ACUGAAUAAUAAAUUUGGCUGUAGACAGCAGGUAUCCGUAAUGAACUAAGUGAGAUGUGAAUCUUUCUCAUGUUCGCCUGCCGAGGUCGGGGAUUAUACUAUAGCUUUUGCUAUUAGCGACCUCCGGCUUAUUAUGCCGAGAGGUCGUUUUGUUUUGUAAUC
rfam:Pelosinus fermentans B4 ctg7, whole genome shotgun sequence.